UUAAACUAAGAAUAUAAGGGUAGAGCUUUAUAUUCAAAAAUUAAUUAGAGAUGAAUAAAUUAAUUAAUAAUUUAUAAAUUAGGCUUUUUAGUGGCCAUAUUUUUAAAGUAUUUUAACUAUUAAAAUAUAAAAAAAUUUUAUUUUUAUUCUCUUGAGUUAUUUAGUAGAAUAUUUUUUUAUAAUAAAAUUAAGUUAGAAAUAAUGAAAAUAUUAGUAGAAAUUAAUUAUUAAAAUUAUUUGAAAUAGAUUUUAUAAUAAAUUAUAAUAAAAUAAGGAAGAAAAAUUAAAGGAAUUCGGCAAAUUUAUUUUCUUGCCUGUUUAACAAAAACAUGUCUGUAUGGAGUUAUAUAGAGUCUGGCCUGCCCGUUGAAGAAAUUUGAAAGGCCGCGGUAUAUUAACUGUGCAAAGGUAGCAUAAUCAUUAGCUUUUUAAUUGAAGGCUUGUAUGAAGGGUCUGACAAAGAAAAAGCUGUCUUUAAUUUUAUUUUUGAAAUUAACUUUUAAGUGAAAAGGCUUAAAUGAAUUUAAGGGACGAUAAGACCCUAUAAAUCUUUAUAUUAAAUUUUUAUCUUAAAGAUUAAUAAUUUGUCUAGAUUAUUAAGUAAAUAAUAAAUAUUUUGUUGGGGUGACAAGAAUAUAUAAUUAACUGUUCUUAUAUAAAACAAAGUUGUUUGUUUAAAUAAAAUAAAGAUCCUUUAUUAAAGAUUAAAAGUUUAAGUUACUUUAGGGAUAACAGCGUUAUUUUUUUUGAGAGUUCUUAUCGAAAAAAAAGUUUGCGACCUCGAUGUUGAAUUAAAAUUUCUCUACGGUGUAGAAGUUGUGGGAGAAAGUCUGUUCGACUUUUGAAAUUUU
rnacentral:rRNA from 1 species